rnacentral:rRNA from 1 species
UACUAAGGGGGCGAGCGUUGUUCGGAAUUACUGGGCGUAAAGGGCGCGUAGGCGGUGUGUCAAGUCAGGCGUGAAAGCCCCGGGCUCAACCUGGGAACCGCGCUUGAGACUGGCACGCUCGAGUCCGGGAGAGGAUGGUGGAAUUCCCAGUGUAGAGGUGAAAUUCGUAGAUAUUGGGAAGAACACCGAUGGCGAAGGCAGCCAUCUGGACCGGCACUGACGCUGAGGCGCGAAAGCCAGGGGAGCAAACGGG